AUUCAGCUAACGAGUCCCAAAUAGAACGAAACGCGUGUCCUGGAU
rfam:Schistosoma curassoni strain Dakar, Senegal genome assembly, scaffold: SCTD_scaffold0010462